CCACAAGGAACGCGAAGACACCGUGUGUCGUGCAUAGGCACCAAUGUUCCUCAACCACGGAAAACUGGCCGCAACUGAGAGAUUAGGGACAUGCAGGGCCCAUGUGGGGAUUUUUGCGUUGUCUAAGGACAAGCACUGACGCCGGCUCCCCGGACGUUCAUGUUGAGGCGGGAUGGCGGUUUUGUGUCGGUUGUGGACAAAUCGUGCACGCGGAAAUUUUUACUGUUGUUCAGUCGUUGUCUUCGCGAGUUGUCUUCCUAUUUGUGUGGUGAGAACAAACGUCAUUGCGAGUGCUCGAACGAGUUGUGCUGCAAGGACUCAAGCGGUGUUACUUUAGUGAAAUGUGGGACUCGAUAGAGAAACGUCGUGGAUGAAAAGGAAGGUGCCGACACUAUGACGGACUUGAGCACUACACUCUGCCAAGUUCCUGGGAGCUACGACAGUCCAGGAUCAGCAAUAACAACCCUGGUCUUCAAGCAUCCACGUAUGCCGGUUGACGUUCGCCAGCGCAAAAGCCCGCGCCUUCACGUCGAAUUUAAAG